CGCCCCCUGCGGUGCCCGUGUCGUUCUAUGAUGUCCUUAGAACCUAAUGCUCUGAUAUGGGGAGCCGAAUCGCGAUUGCUGGUGUGCAUGUCCGCCUCGUAGCGGAAAGCCUGAGGCAUCGCUGAGGCACCCCACUUGAACCAAACGGUUCAAGGCGAACGGACGGGACGGCACUUGCGGAGGGCGU
rnacentral:other from 1 species